UACAGAGGGUGCGAGCGUUGUCCGGAAUCACUGGGCGUAAAGGGCUCGUAGGCGGCCAACUAAGUCAUACGUGAAAUCCCUCGGCUUAACCGGGGAACUGCGUCUGAUACUGGAUGGCUUGAGAUUGGGAGAGGGAUGCGGAAUUCCAGGUGUAGCGGUGAAAUGCGUAGAUAUCGGGAGGAACACCGGUGGCGAAGGCGGUCUUCUGGACGGUGACUGACGCUGAGGCGCGAAAGCGUGGGGAGCAAACGGG
rnacentral:rRNA from 1 species